GAUGAACGCUGGCGGCGUGCCUAAUACAUGCAAGUCGAGCGAACGGACGAGAAGCUUGCUUCUCUGAUGUUAGCGGCGGACGGGUGAGUAACACGUGGAUAACCUACCUAUAAGACUGGGAUAACUUCGGGAAACCGGAGCUAAAACCGGCUGAUCUUUUGAACCGCAUGGUUCAAAAGUGAAAGACGGUCUUGCUGUCACUUAUAGAUGGAUCCGGGCUGGAUUAGCUAGUUGGUAAGGUAACGGCUUACCAAGGCAACGAUGCAUAGCCGACCUGAGAGGGUGAUCGGCCACACUGGAACUGAGACACGGUCCAGACUCCUACGGGAGGCAGCAGUAGGGAAUCUUCCGCAAUGGGCGAAAGCCUGACGGAGCAACGCCGCGUGAGUGAUGAAGGUCUUCGGAUCGUAAAACUCUGUUAUUAGGGAAGAACAUAUGUGUAAGUAAAUGUGCACACCUUGACGGUACCUAAUCAGAAAGCCACGGCUAACUCCGUG
rnacentral:rRNA from 1 species